rnacentral:lncRNA from 1 species
CUCCUCCAGCCCAGGGAGCCAGGGGCUGGCAUUCUGUGUCCAGGACUUCGGGCCCUCUGUGAGCCUCUGUCCGCCAAGGCGAUGGAGCUGUGUUUGGAGUCCCUCGUCUUUGGCAGCGGCUGGGGCCAAAGCCCGGGCAAGACCAACGCCUUCGGCACCCGGACUCAGGCUCCGUCCUCUCUGCCAGCGUGCGGCUACAAUGACUCGACAUGGCAGGCCACUGCCUUCAGAGAAGGUGACAGAGGGCCAUGUCUGAAACAUUCUCCCACAACCAGGAACCCUCAGCAGCCGCUGAAGAGGAAAGGCAGUUAAAUGGAAAGACUUCUGAGCAAGUGGAGGAAAAGUCACGUGUGACCUAGGGAGGGGCUCCCACAGGAAGGGGCAAUGCCCUUGCCCUGUUCACCUAGCCUCCAGGUGGCUUCCCACUUGAAAUUUCAGAGGAUGGCAGAAACCUACUUACAAGGAAAUGAAAGAGGGCACAGCAACCUUAAGACCAGAGCAGCCCACGAUAUUUUUUAAUGAGGGCAAAAAUAGAAGACUUGCAAAAGACCCCUGAAAAUAAUGCCUGGAAGCUGCGAAACAUCAGACUGACACCGCACAAAAGAGGUCCAGCUGAGCAGGAGAAAAGCUUGAGAAGCAUCCAGAACAAUGUAGGUGGAGAGGCUAAGAAGAAAGAGGAGCCCACAUGGAAUGAAUAACCAAGGUCGGGACAGAGGAAGGUUCGCCAGAACUGGGAGGGCUGAAAUUGGACAUUGAGAUAAAUUAAAGAGUGUUCUUUAAAACUGUCAA